rnacentral:rRNA from 1 species
GACGAACGUUGGCGGCGUGCUUAACACAUGCAAGUCGAACGGAAAGGCCCUGCUUUUGUGGGGUGCUCGAGUGGCGAACGGGUGAGUAACACGUGAGUAGCCUGCCCUUGACUUUGGGAUAACUUCAGGAAACUGGGGCUAAUACCGGAUAGGAGCUCCUGCUGCAUGGUGGGGGUUGGAAAGUUUCGGCGGUUGGGGAUGGACUCGCGGCUUAUCAGCUUGUUGGUGGGGUAGUGGCUUACCAAGGCUUUGACGGGUAGCCGGCCUGAGAGGGUGACCGGCCACAUUGGGACUGAGAUACGGCCCAGACUCCUACGGGAGGCAGCAGUGGGGAAUAUUGCACAAUGGGCGGAAGCCUGAUGCAGCAACGCCGCGUGCGGGAUGACGGCCUUCGGGUUGUAAACCGCUUUCGCCUGUGACGAAGCGUGAGUGACGGUAAUGGGUAAAGAAGCACCGGCUAACUACGUGCCAGCAGCCGCGGUGAUACGUAGGGUGCGAGCGUUGUCCGGAUUUAUUGGGCGUAAAGGGCUCGUAGGUGGUUGAUCGCGUCGGAAGUGUAAUCUUGGGGCUUAACCCCUGAGCGUGCUUUCGAUACGGGUUGACUUGAGGAAGGUAGGGGAGAAUGGAAUUCCUGGUGGAGCGGUGGAAUGCGCAGAUAUCAGGAGGAACACCAGUGGCGAAGGCGGUUCUCUGGGCCUUUCCUGACGCUGAGGAGCGAAAGCGUGGGGAGCGAACAGGCUUAGAUACCCUGGUAGUCCACGCUGUAAACGGUGGGUACUAGGUGUGGGGUCCAUUCCACGGGUUCCGUGCCGUAGCUAACGCUUUAAGUACCCCGCCUGGGGAGUACGGCCGCAAGGCUAAAACUCAAAGGAAUUGACGGGGCCCCGCACAAGCGGCGGAGCAUGCGGAUUAAUUCGAUGCAACGCGUAGAACCUUACCUGGGUUUGACAUGGAUCGGGAGUGCUCAGAGAUGGGUGUGCCUCUUUUGGGGUCGGUUCACAGGUGGUGCAUGCCUGUCGUCAGCUCGUGUCGUGAGAUGUUGGGUUAAGUCCCGCAACGAGCGCAACCCUUGUUCACUGUUGCCAGCACGUUAUGGUGGGGACUCAGUGGAGACCGCCGGGGUCAACUCGGAGGAAGGUGGGGAUGACGUCAAGUCAUCAUGCCCCUUAUGUCCAGGGCUUCACGCAUGCUACAAUGGCUGGUACAGAGAGUGGCGAGCCUGUGAGGGUGAGCGAAUCUCGGAAAGCCGGUCUCAGUUCGGAUUGGGGUCUGCAACUCGACCUCAUGAAGUCGGAGUCGCUAGUAAUCGCAAAUCAGCAACGCUGCGGUGAAUACGUUCCCGGGGC